GACAGAGGGGGCAAGCGUUGCUCGGAAUUACUGGGCGUAAAGAGCUUGUAGGCGGUUUGUCGCGUCUGCCGUGAAAAUUCGAGGCUCAACCUCGAACUUGCGGUGGGUACGGGCAGACUAGAGUGUGGUAGGGGAGACUGGAAUUCCUGGUGUAGCGGUGAAAUGCGCAGAUAUCAGGAGGAACACCGAUGGCGAAGGCAGGUCUCUGGGCCACUACUGACGCUGAGAAGCGAAAGCAUGGGGAGCGAACAGG
rnacentral:rRNA from 1 species